CGCUCUUUUUGAAGCCCAUUAGCCCCGGAACUCAUUUCCUCUCUCACCUUCUCUCUUCCCCUCACCCGCUCCCUCUCCCAUUCUCACCGUCGACCCCCUCAAAAUCCUUCACUCUCCUCAGAUUCUCUCCCCUUUCCAACCUUCGUCCCCUAUUUGCCCAGCCCCAAGAAAAAAAAAUCCCCAAUCUCAAGUAACGUCCAACCCAUCCUAUCCCAAAAUCCCCCCAACCCAUUCGUCACCCCCCCCCCCCAAAAUUCCAAAUUCCCCCAACCAAAUCCCCUACCUAGCACACCCUAAAUCCCCUAGCUCUUCAGCCUUCCCCCAAGUUUGCCUACCCCUUCACCCCCCUCCCCUUCCCACAACUCAUUUGCCACUACCCACACACAAAAACCCCAACCCCUUCGCCCCUGGCCCCCAAUUCCUCAAGAAUUUGUUCUCGAUGGAAGUGGGUUGAAGCUCAUCUGACAUAUGAGUGUAAGUUGCUUGAAGAAUUGCUUCACGAGACAGCAAACAAGUAUUCAAAAUCCCGUCCUAGCAUUCAUUCUUCUUGUGGCACAUGCAUCCUUUGAUCUCUGGAACCAGAUUAGGCAGCAAUAGACUGGAAAUAAAAAGUCCGACAAGCAGACACAAGUUAGAGAACCCAAAAUAAGGAUCAACCAAGUAUGGUGAUUUAAAUAGAUAAUAGGCUCCUUCUUGUUUAAAUUAUGAAAUUUAUUGUAUUUUAAAUAUUGUGAGUAUUAUUAAAAUCAUGUAAUGACUAGAAUUUAUGAAAUUUAUUUUUUAUGAUAUUUAUUAGAAAAUAUGUAAUAGUAAAAAAGGAGGCACUUUUU